AAACUUCGCAAUGUGCGAAAGCGCGACGAGGUUAAUCCGAGUGCCGCCCGCUGAGGGCGGCUUUUCUCAGGUGUAAAUGGUCUGAGGAAUAAGGGGAGGGAAAGCCUGGUGUCAGCCGCCGCGGUAAUACCAGCUCCCCGAGUGGUCGGGACGUUUAUUGGGCCUAAAGCAUCCGUAGCCCGCCCUGUUGGUCCCAGGUUAAAUCCAAUCGCUCAACGAUUGGGCCGCAUGGGAUACCGCAGGGCUAGGAGGCGGGAGAGGCGGACGGUACUCCGCGGGUAGGGGUAAAAUCCACUGAUCCGCGGAAGACCACCAGUGGCGAAGGCGGUCCGCCAGAACGCGCUCGACGGUGAGGGAUGAAAGCUGGGGGAGCAAACCGG
rnacentral:rRNA from 1 species